GAUGAAGAACGUAGCGAAAUGCGAUACUUGGUGUGAAUUGCAGAAUCCCGUGAACCAUCGAGUCUUUGAACGCAAGUUGCGCCCGAAGCCAUCAGGUUGAGGGCACGUCUGCCUGGGCGUCACAUAUCGUUGCCCAAUGCCUAUUGCAGUGCAAUAGGAAUUUCUAGGGCGAAUGAUGGCUUCCCGUGAGCGUUGUUGCCUCGCGGUUGGUUGAAAAUCGAGUCCUUGGUAGGGUGUGCCAUGGUAGAUGGUGGUCGAGUUAGAACGAUACCGAUCAUGUGCAUGCUCCCCAAAAUAUGGCCUCUAUGACCCACACGCGUCUUUUGACGCUCAUGACGAGACCUCAGGUCAGGCGGGUCUACCCGCUGAAUUUAAGCAUAUCAAUAAGCGGAGGA
rnacentral:misc_RNA from 1 species